rnacentral:rRNA from 1 species
UACGAACUGUGCAAACGUUAUUCGGAUUCACUGGGCUUAAAGGGUGCGUAGGCGGCUUGCCAAGUAGGGUGUGAAAGCCCCCGGCUUAACCGGGGAAUUGCGCCCUAAACUGGCGAGCUGGAGUGAGAUAGGGGUGUGUGGAACUUCCGGUGGAGCGGUGAAAUGUGUUGAUAUCGGAAGGAACGCCGGUGGCGAAAGCGACACACUGGGUCUCAACUGACGCUGAGGCACGAAAGCCAGGGGAGCGAACGGG